rnacentral:tRNA from 1 species
GGGGAUGUAGCUCAAGUGGUAGAGCAUGAUAAAGGUAUGGGGUUCAACUCCUCGUAUCUCCA